rnacentral:lncRNA from 1 species
GGCCAUCCAGAUCCCAUCCGGGCUCAGACCUCCUGGUGCCACGGGUCAUGGGGUGCAGCACAGGUGCUCAGGUCAGGCUGAUGAGGCCGACACACGGGGUGGGCUCUGAGCAUAACUGCUCCCUUGGCUAUCAAAAUGCAUUGUGCCAAAGAGCAGAAGCUCCACAGCAACUGAGGCAAUUGUGGCUCUGCCGAGAGGCACAUGGGUGGUGCUGGCCCAGGGGAGGGGGGUGGUAGGUGGCAUUGCCGGGCCAAGACCGAGAGACACUCGUGCAAGGCAAGGGGUAGAGUCAGAGGCUGCCUGGCGCCCGAGAGCUUGGGGAGAUGGCCGGGCCUCACACUACCUUUGUCCAUCCUCUCACAGUCCCAAAGCCUCCGGCUCCAAACCACAGGGCUAGGAGGAAGGGUCCCACAGGCUCAUCCAAGGGUUCUGACCAAGCGAGCUUGGAUGCUGAGAAGAGAGUCUGGGAAGGAGAGCUUUUACUAAAGCGGGUGGUUCCUUCGGACGAUUCAAACGUGGUUUGGGAACUGUAUGAAUACCCAGCGCUUUGGCAGCCCCGCCCCUCCUGACUCCGGCGUCUCGUAGAGCAAAGUUCUGGCUCUGCCUUUAAGGACGCUCCACGACCAGCUCCGUCUACUCAGAACACUAGGAGACGAGUCGCGGGGUCUCACCAUUCCUAGGCUGCCAGCUCCAACA